rnacentral:lncRNA from 1 species
GGGAAGCUGGAGAGUCUGGAGGACUAGAGGGCCCAUAAACCAUUGAUGGAAAAGAGCUCCAGCUCCCUGCCUCUAACUCUGCUGGGAAGAUGGUCACUGAGACCCCGUGGAGUGGAGAAAGGGUGGAGGUUAGCAUCCUGAGGAGGGAGAGAUCGGGGAUGCGGAGGGCAAGGGGCAGCGAGGAAAGAACUCAGAAAACGUCCCCCGGAGUGCACGCCUUAAGUGGAGGAUCCUGAUCCUGGGACCCUGCGCGCAUUCAGCCUGGACGUCCACUCCCCUCCUCAAGCCUUCACCCCAAGCCUUCACCGCUCCCAAAUUCCCCCACGCCCCCGCCCUCCCCAGGCAGCACAGAGGAGCCCAUUGUCGGAGCCCGAAGGCUCGAGGCUGGAGGAGAUGGGAGGGGAAGGAGGAGGGCGGACAAGUCCCUGGAGAGUGGGAGGAAUCCCCCGAUUUUCCUGUCCUCUGUUCCACCGGAGGCGGGCAGGGGCCUGGGGGAUGGGAGAGGGGGGUCUCUUCUGAACUCCAGGAGCUGCCGAAGUCUGGCAACGGAGGGGAGAGGAGAUUCCCGGGCGAGUUAGAAUCUAGAGGCUUCCGGCCACCAAAAGGCUCCAGGCCUAGGCUGGGGACCCCAGGGAAUUCACGCACGCUCCAGCCUUUGGACUGUCCCUUGGGGAGACUAAACUGAUCCCUUAGGGAGCGCGGCGGUGGCGGGAAGAGGGGCAUCCUCGGCGGGACGGGCCUCCGAGGGUCAGGGUCCGGGCUACGGACUGGAGGGCGGGGCGGAGGAGGAAGAGAGUUGCGGGAGAGCGGUGCAGAUCCGCUGGGGGCGUCGGGGGAGAGGCCAGAAGCUCCGCGCGGGAGUGGCAGUCCCGACAGGGGGUCCAGCGCGGAGGCAGAGGCGGGCACUGAAGGGCGGGGCGGGGAGGGGCGGCCGUCUCGACCCUCCCUGGCGGGGCCCCGCGGCCUGGGAGCGCGAGCGGGCCGAGCCGCCACCGCGGCCGG